UACGAAGGGUGCAAGCGUUACUCGGAAUUACUGGGCGUAAAGCGUGCGUAGGUGGUUUGUUAAGUCUGAUGUGAAGCCCUGGGCUCAACCUGGGAAUGGCAUUGGUGACUGCACGGCUAGAGUGUGUCAGAGGGGGUAGAAUUCCACGUGUAGCAGUGAAAUGCGUAGAGAUGUGGAGGAAUACCGAUGGCGAAGGCAGCCCCUGGGAUAACACUGACGCUCAUGCACGAAAGCGUGGGAGCAAACAGG
rnacentral:rRNA from 1 species